rnacentral:rRNA from 1 species
UACGUAGGGUCCGAGCGUUGUCCGGAAUUAUUGGGCGUAAAGGGCUCGUAGGCGGUUUGUCGCGUCGGGAGUGAAAACCUUGGGCUUAACUCAGGGCUUGCUUUCGAUACGGGCAGACUAGAGGUAUGCAGGGGAGAACGGAAUUCCUGGUGUAGCGGUGAAAUGCGCAGAUAUCAGGAGGAACACCGGUGGCGAAGGCGGUUCUCUGGGCAUGAUCUGACGCUGAGGAGCGAAAGUGUGGGGAGCAAACAGG